UGUUUUGAAUGUUCAUUUCGUUGCGUUAUUUUUAUGAAUUUGGAAUUCCGACUCUACAUGCCCUUUGAUUAGAAGCUGAGAUUGUAAAAUUCAAAUGAUAGAACACGCAAUAAUCGAUUGUGAUUUCAAAUUUAUUUAAACAGAGAAUCAUUUUUUGCAAUCAUGAAACAGAUCUAAAAUAAAAAAUACCCAUCUGUCACAAAAUCUGUUACAUAAGUUUGUCUCAAUGUUUGUUUCGUAGAAAACAGCACGUAAAAAAGAUUUAAACUUUGACAAAAAAGUGUAAGCUGCAUCGCUCAGCUCUGAAUUUUUAUACAAAUGCAUUCGAAAUAUUCUAAACUAUCUAGUACUUAGAUCCACUUUAAUUUUGCUUCAAAACGUCUCUUAUCUAGCAUACUAUAGAUUCAACAGUUAAUCUAAAAGGUCUAUCUUAAUUCUAUUUUUUAAAAAUUAGAUGCAGGUGGGUCGCCAAAUCUGUCAAUUGAAUGUGGGUCACGACCUUGAGGUGUUUUGAGAACACCUUAUAUACACGGCUUAAAAACUCGCCAAUUGUUACAUAUCAAUCACAUGGCCAAUUGUUACAUGUCAAUCAGAAAAAGCUGAGCCCAUCCCAAGUAACAAGACCAGCUGAAUAAUAGUUUCUUAAGCUAAAGUUUGCUUAAGAGUGGUUUGUUCCACUAUUGUACAACAACAAUGUUGGGAUGAUGAGCUUCUAUAAAAUAAGUUUUUCUUAAAGUAGUUUUAAAUGAUAAUUUUGACAUUUUGUUUCUGAGAAAAAAUAUUUAAAAUUUUAAAAUACUCUAAUCGAAUUCGUGAACGGAAAUACUUAAUAAGCGUUCCCAAAAAGAAUGACUGAAAUCGGACUUGUUGAGGAAGAAUGUCAACAGUAACAGAAUUAAACGUUCCCGUGAUUUUUUUUUUAUAAAAAAAAAAUGUUCGCCUAUAUUUUUCUACGUAGUUUUCUUGAGAAAAAUGGAUUUCAUAAAAAAAAACAUUUGUAAGAUUUUUUCUAUAUUUAUAUCAUUGUAGUUUUUUGAGAUUUGUUGUCAAAAUUUCUUGAGCAAUCUCACCAAAGUUUAGUUAAAUAUAACUAAUAAAAUUUUCCAAAAAAAUCUCUUUUAAUGAACAGAUAAGAUUAGAUUUUGUUUGAAAUUCUAUAAUGUCCUUUUUGAUAAUUCCACCGAAUAUUGGUCCAGGAGCUGCUACAUUUCUUUUGAAAGUUCAGCCAGGAAAUUCUAUAGUAAUGCAUCUGCAAAUUUCUCCUAAAGCUUCUUUUCAUGAAAUUAAUUAUACAAAUUUGUUUCUUUUUUGUUCGAUUUUGUCAGUUCCUGAUUUCGCCUACUCCCGAUUGUUUGAGCUUUUUGACACGAUUUCUGGCAGUCCUUGUUCAAAGAAAUAAAAAAUAUGCUUCCUUCAGCAUUGUCAUUCUACUAUCACUAUUGGGUCAAUUCCUAUCUUCUGAUGUCAUAUAGAAAUUAUGUAACAAUCGAAUCUCGCGUAACUUUUGAAAACGGUCAUUUUUUUAACAAGCAGAUUUCUGCUCUUUUAGCGCCUAACGUGGCUCAACUUUACCCAACCUUCAAAGUAAUAUCGCUUCAAAUUGCUUCUUAGUUACCUCUGACACAGAACAAAUGUCAAGCGUUGCCUGUUGAUGUGAUUAUAAAUCAGGCAUCCCCAAACAUGUGACGCUGGAGUAGAAAUCACUUCUUUAACUGAAUCUCGUCCCAAUAUGGAAAAAUGCAUAAUAUGCUUCUUCUUGUUAGAGAUGCCUUUAGGGAUUCCCGCAGCAAUACUUGUUGGGCUAAAUUUCCUGCUGGGAUUGCUUUAGAAGUUGCUGUCGAUAUUCUUCUGAUCCUGUCCAUAAAACUACGUAGACUCGAAGGAGGGAGGCGGGGUCUGGUUAAAAUUAACGGUCCAUAAACAUUUUCACACUUUUGUAUGGACGAAAGUCUACGAAAAGGAGGGGGGUUAGAGAUGACUAAAAAUGAUUCUACGUAGUUUAUGGACAGCGCCUCUCUAAAAUUUCCUCCAGGAAUUUCUCGCAGUUUUUUCAGAGAUGACACAAUUAAAUUUUUUUAUUUUUUUCCACGAAGUCCUAUUGAAAGCCCUUAAGAAACUUGUGAGGGGAUUUCUCCUGAAAUUUUUGCUGCGAUUGCUCAAGGUUCAGAACUUUCGCCAGCAGGAAUUUCUUUAGAAACUCCUCUGGGGAUAUAUCCAGAAAUUUUUGUAGAGAUUUACCAAAUUCCUCUUAGAAUUACUCCGUGGUUAUUUAGACAUUUAUCUAAAUUUUUUCCUAAAGAUUUUCUUUCAGAAUUCUUCAGGAAUUCCUACUUGGAUUCCUCCGGAAACUCUACCGGUAAUUAAUCUAGGAAUUACUGCGGAGAUCCUUCUUCGGAUUUAUUUAAAAAAAUCUCCUUGGAUACCUUUAGCUAUAUCUCCACAAAUUACUUAAACAAUUUAUUCAAGAAUUCCUCAGGGAAUAUUUGCAGGAUUGCUCUAAGGAUUUCUCUAUAAAAAAUCUUCUAUGGAUUUCAUUUGUGUUCUUCCUGGCAUUUCUACAGGAAUAUCUCUUGGCUUUGCUUCGGGACAUUUCCUAGUGAUUUCUUCUGAAAUUUCUGCAAAUAUUCUUCUAAAAAUUCUUGAAUUCAUGCCAAUAUUUCUCAAGCCAUACCUGAUGGGGCUCCUCCUGCAAUUGGUCCAGAUGGCCCACCAGAACUUUUUCAGGAAUUUCUCCCUGGGUUUAAUUCUUGAAGAAUUUCAUUUGGAAUCUUAACAGAUUUCAUAGAAUCUUUAUGUAGAUUUCAAAAAUUCUUUCAAUGAUUCUUCUAUGAAUUAUUUCAAGAAUGUUUCCAGAAAAUCUAGCAGUGCCUCAAGGCCCAAGGAGUUUCACCAAGGGGACUCCUGUAGAGGACUCUACAGAAAUUGCUUACGGCUUUCCUUCAGCAAUUUUUGUAGGGUUCGGUCCUGUAAUUUCUCGGGUUACUUAUUCAGAAAUUCUUCCAAGGAUUCCUCCAGAUAUUAUUCCUGGAAUUACACCAUUUCUUUGAUAAUUCCUCUAAGAAUUUUUAGUGCCUUUAGAUCCUUUCACAGAUUUUUCCAGGAAUUCUUCUGUAAAUAUUUUUGUAAAAUGCAAAAAAGCACCGUAUCGCUGUAGGGCUAAGUCUUCAAUGAAAUCCAUCCAGGUUUUUUUGUGGAUUCUUGGUGUUUAUUUUUCAGAAUUAAAGCAAGUGGUCUAAUAAUUAAACCAGACAUAAAUCCACCUAUAAAGUAUAAGUUUUUGGGAAUUGCAAUAAGUAAACGCCAAGUGUUUUGCUGGGGAUUCGUUACAGGGGAAACUGUGUAUUUUAAGCAGUUUUGUUCUCUUCGCCAGGGUUUUUUUUAAGCUGUUGAAUUCAGAGUUGGCUUCAAAUCCUUUCUAAAGAAGCUGCAUUAUACGACCAAGUUUCAGGAAAUUUACCCGACAAAAAACUCUCUUGACGAAGAGAACAAACCUGCCGAUAAUAUCCAACGUCACCUUAUUUAUCCAGAAUAUCGAGUAGCACACAUGUUCUACAUAAUUUUGUUUUGCUCAUAUAAAAUCAAAUUUCAUUUUAACUGAUAGAGAAUCUGCGUAAUGCUCGCGAUCUUAGUAUAAAUAAGUCUUCUGUGCCAUUGAAUCUGAUACAACUUUUGUAAAGAUUGGACUGAGAAUCCCAAAAGGAAUAUGCCAAAAAUCUAGCCUGGUAUCUAUAUUCCUGUAUCUAUAUCGAUAUCUAUAUCUAUAGGGCCCAUAUAGCCACAGCUGUAAGGGCUGGAGUGUCUAUUACCUGGAAAAACCCGAAAACCGAGAAUCUUCAAGGAAUUUUACUUAACAAGGAAAAACCUGGAAUACUCAGAGAAUAUCUUGAGUAGUCAGGGAAAUUUUACUCUGAUAUGAAAUAUUGGGUCGUUUGAAUAAAAAGUACUAGUGAACUUUGGUACUUGUAGAUCUACUCAAAAAAAGAGUCCAUAGAGACUUUGAAUUGUUGGUAUGAAUAAAAAAGUUUUCGAGUAAUGCUGCACGUUCUUUCUGGUAGCUUGUGGUUCCGUGAAGACGUAUCAAAUUCCUCUGAAUGAUUAUUCACGAAGCAAUUUAAAUCAAGAAGAAAUCUGGAUAAUCUUUAAACAUCUUUAAACAGACCUAGCAUAUAUUUCCGACAAGCCGACGAUUUCGAUAAGAUGCUGCAAAUUCCACAAGAACGUGGAUAAACCUGGAAGUUAAAAUCCAUUCGUAAAUUCCGCUACAAGGGCUAUUCCAGAAAUUCCAUCAGGGUUUCUUUCUGGAACUUCCUAAGAAAUACUUCCUGGAAUGCCUUCCACCAUUUCUCACAAAAUUCCUUCCGUAUUUUUCAAGUAAUUUUUCUUAGUUACUCCCCAGAAAAUCUUCCCAGAAUUUGUCUUAGAGUUGUUACAGAAGUUUUUCAUGGGAUUUCUGCUAGAGUUCCUCCAAGGAUUUCUUAAGGAGUUUUUCACGAAUUUUCUGCAAGAGUUCCUCCCGAGAUUUCUUCCAUAGUUUUUCUUGUAAUAUCUUCAAGAAAUGUCUGUGAACUUUCUUCUACACGCAAAAAAAAUCCGUUCGGAUAUACGUGAACUCUCAGUCACGGCAACGGGAACAAACGGGAACUAUGUAUAGCAACAAUAACAACAAUAAGAAAUGCACACCGUGAACUAGAUGUCACGGUUUCUAGAACGCCCAUAUUGACAGCUGGAACUAGUUCCAGUUCACGGUGUAUAUUUGCUUGUUCUCUUAUUUACGUUUGUUUGUUCACGUUUAUCAGAACGGUUUUUUUCGCGUGUAUAGUUCCUACCUGGUUUUCUACAGGAUAUUUAGCUGGGGUAAUUCUUAAAGGCUCUCAAGGGGUUUAUUUUGAAGUUUUAUCCGAGAUUUGUCUCGGAGUUUCGCUCGAAACUUCUCUCAGAAGAUUUCUUCCGAUGAAGGUCCUGGGAUGUCUCUCAGAGUUUAUCUAAACUUACCCUGCACAGAAAAAAAUAUGUAAUUAAAAUUCAGCGAUAAAUCAUGCACAUAAAGGAAAUGCUAGAGUUACGGCACUUCUACAUGAGAUAUAAUGUAAAAUUACCAUCGUGUAAAUUUCCGCCAACCAUCGCGUAAACCAUCAUGGACUCCAACCGAUUACGCGACUAUUAGCGGAAAUUUACACGAACCUAACGUAAUUUUACAUGAUAUCUCAUGUAAAUAUGCACUAACUCUAGCAUUCCCUUUAUGUGCAUGAUUUUUCGCUGAAUUUUACAUGAAUAUUUUUUUCUGUGUGGGCUAUCUCCUAAGAUUUUUUCCGGAGUGUCUUCUAACAUUUCUACAGAACUCAACUAACAAUGAUAGCUGAAUAACAGCUUAUUCAGCCGAAAUUUUAAAAAUUAAGCCUUACCCUCCUAUGAUGUUAGUUAUUUUUUUUGCACCACGAUGGCGUAGUGCACGUUCGGCGUGCUUGUCUGGGUCAUAUUGACCCCAACAACCUACUAUGAUUAGAAGCGGCUUAGCCUUCUGUUGUACAGCCAUAAUGUUUGUUGGGGAGCUAUUGCUGAUAUUUCGCAUUGAAUUCUUCCCGUGAUUUCUUUCUGAGCCAGGCUGUUUCUAGUAGUUGUACCGGAUUUCUUAAUGUGAUCCACCUGAGAUUUUUUUUACAGAUUUCCGGAAACUGUCCCGAGAUUCUGGAUACUCCUUUAGGGAUUUCUUUAAUAGGCACUCCCAAAGGUUCUCGCAGGGGAUCUAUGGGUUUUCCAUAGAAUGUCUACUGGGAUAACUUACGAUAUAAGAAAUUCCCGGAAAAACAUUUGAAGGAAUCCAAGAGAAAUCUUCCGAGAAACUCCAAAAAGGUUAUUGAAAAAAAACUUGACAGGAAUUUUAGAAAUAAAAACUUAGAAAAAAAUGAGACAUUUCGGAAAAAAAGUUCUAAGAGUAAUCCCGUGAGCAAAUAUUGAGCAGUCACUUUGGAAACCUCACGGAAUCCUGGAAACAGCUACAGGUAAAAUUCCGUAAGGAAAUCCAAGGGAAAUAUCUGAAAUUAUCGGUAAAAAUCCCCAGUCUGUUGGGAAGUUAUCACGGAAAACCACUAAGUGACAUUCGUGAAGGGCCUUUACCUAAUUUUGGAUGGAUCUUCAGGAGGAAUCCAGCGAGAAACUCUGGAUGCAUAUAGGAAAACCUUUGAAAGACAUAUCGGGAUAUACUCUAACAAAUAUCUCGUGGAAAAAACUUCUGCGGAAAUCCAGGAAGAAUCACUGAUUGACAUCCCAGAAAUCUUGAAAGAUGUUUACUUGAUUUUUGGGUAUAUUCUUGUAUAGCUUUUGAAAAAUAUGUAAUUUUCAGAAAAUUUGGAUUAUUUUUUGAAUUAUAAACUUUCAAAUUUCUCCUGGAAAAACCUGGAAAACUCAGGGAAUUUUAUUUAGAGUUAUGAGUAGACACCCAUUCAGCAUGCUGGGGCUGACGGGUUCGAUUCCCGGACGGUCCAGGAACUUUUCGUAAUGGAAAUUUCCUCAACUUCUUUGGGCAUAGAAUAGAUUAUCUUCGUGCCACACGAUAUACACAAGCGAAAUGAUCAUUGACAGAUGAAGCUCUCAGUUAAUAACUGUGGAAGUGCUCAUAAAACACUAUGCUGAAAAGCGGGCUUCGUUUCAGUGGGGACGUAACGCCAAGAAGAAGAAUAAGCAAGAACCACUAUCAAUUGGUGUAUUUAGUGCUAAUGUAAGAACAAUCACGACAUUCACAAAACGCGACGCGAGACAAGGACUCUGCGAAGAUUCUUUACAGUAAUUGUGCGCACAUGAUCUCUUUGGAAAUACGCCAGGAGAGCUGAGCGAGAUGUGCUUAGAAUUCCAGUAUGUAGCCUGCAGGAAAUUCGACAGGAUGUUAGGUCAUUUGACCGAAGUACGUUAGGCCAAAGUUCAUUAGGUCGAAUGGUUCAUUAGGCCGAACUGCUAGUGCUAGAUAAAAUGUAUACUACAAGUAGGAGGUGAUAUCAGUAUUUUACGAAGUUGUCGUCUACGAAUGAAAGUCGAGUAGCAGAAGCAUGACACAUAAUAAAUUCCCAAUUCACUAGAAAUAUGCGAUAGACACGUCAAGUCUGUUGCGAUGACGUCAUACGCUAAUUUGUUGCUGGUGAUAUUUGAGAUCGUUUUGUAUUUUACAGAGCGUCCAGUAGAUUCUCGUCACGCUUUUUGAUCACGUACAUACAUAUUUACAUGUAGUUAUGUACACCUUUAAUACCUUUUCUGGUAUCUUUUUUGUGUGCGUAAUAGCUGAACGCAAGAAUAAUAUUUGCUGCAGCACUAUGCUUGGGCACGUGUUGACUUUGCUGAAUUAUUCAGACCUCUCUCCCAUCACCCCUCUGCUUGAUCCGUUCGGUUUCAAGGGUUAUGAUGGUACUUGAGAAGCGUUCAUCAUCAUCAUCAUGGCAACACACCAACCAGCAAUGCGAUGAGUUCGACGACGAUGAAUAAGCUGCUAAGGUAUUAGACAGUAUUUUGCUGGUUGGUCUCAAGAGCCGAGCUUUGCGCCAACUACCGAACGGCUUUUCGCACAUUUCACCCGGGUUGUUGUCGUCACCGGCGUCCGCGUCGCCGUCGCACUGCUUUGCCGGUUGUUUACCGUGCUGAUUCAGACAUUCAACCGGGGCGGCCUCAGAAGCGAGCAAACAACGAAAGCAGAAACGGUAAGAAAAGACUUGCCAAAUCAGCGGAAAAUUGCGUGUGAGAACACCGCGGAGUAUGAGUUUCGUUUAGAUAGGUUGAGUUUUAGCAAACGAUGCGUUGUCCAGUUUGAAUAUCAACGCUAACGCAUCGUCAUGGGAAAGUACUGCAAUAGCUAGUCGCAAAGGUCAUGUGUCCUGCAAUGCGAAAACCACCCACCGCAACGCAGGGUGGUGUCAAAAAUCAUGUUGCAACCAAUACAAACUAACCUAGGUCAAUGUUCUGAACUCGGCGGUUGUUGUUGUUGUUGUUGCUGCUGCUAUUGCUGUUUCAGCAUCAACGAAGAGAACAGAUUGCUUCCGGCAUUUUCGUUCCGCUGUAGAAAAAAGAAAAUAUACGCCGAGCCGGCGAUAAAAUGCUUCAUAGUAGAACACCCGGCCGGCGUACGAGAGUGUUUUACUAUUAUGUGACUAUCGAGCUAUCCGACCAAGAGAGCAAGUGAGAGUGAGAUUGCACAUGUGCACUGUGCAGCAACAGCAUCCGGUGCCCCUGCUGUUCGUUUCUUCCGAGGAAUGCAGCCAGAUGAUGUCGAUGGCACUAACACCCAGCCACCGCUCAACGGCAGUGACCGGUAUCAAACCAGACGCCAGCUCAUGAUUUAAUAAUAAAUUUAUUGACUAGUCAAUUGCUUUCGCCGGUUUCGAAUGGGAUGAACACUUCAAUUCAAUCGUCAAACUUCGACGUCAGCGACAGAGAAUCAGACAUCCUAAAAUUGUCCAACCGACCGACUCACACGAAGAUGUCACUUCUGAGCCCAUCAAUCAAAAUUUCGUGGCAUCCGAAUUUAUCGGGGGGACCACUAAAAAGCAAAUCAAUAUCAGCGCAAAAUUUCAUCGAAGCUGAUGAUAUCGGUUUUAUUUUCAGAUCUCUGUGGAGGUUCGUUUCGUAACUUGAAAGUGAUGGUAGGUGAUGUUGUUUGCGUUUCGAUGAUAACGCAUCGCGCACAUUUCACGGCAGUUUAGCGCGCGUUCGUUAUCUUAUCGCGAGGAACACAGGGAAGACGAGAGCGCGCAUGUUUGGAAACUCGGUCUGAUCGUUCAGAUAGCAAAUGGGGUACCUUACAGUGGACGCGUGCGAUAAGGCCGUUGGUAUGAGCUUGACACUUCCAAUACACAUGCGAUGUUCGGGGAAAACUAGGUGAAUGUAUGGCGUUUGUCGUGUUUGGACUGGUAUAUCUACAGUGCAAAAUCGGUAGAUCAACAGUACUAUGAUGUCAUUGACUGGCUUUUUUUUCGGGAUGAUGAUUCGUUCGGAGAUUAAUUAAUUACAUUUCCUGCUUCCUGUGCAACAUAUGAUAAAUCGAGGAGUAUUUAUGUAAUCUUGAUAAUGUGAUUAAGAUAUCUACACUAUUCCAAUUCAAGAUUUGAACUUUUCUUUCUUUAUCAGUUAGCAAUGACCUGGCUAAGAUAGAGCUGCUUUGGACAACUGCUGCUUGUACAGCAUGUGACCCACAACUCCAUUUUAUGCAGCCCAUACUGUGUGAUGGGGUACCAAUCACACCGUAGGAUCAACGCCGAGUUGAAGCAUCCUUCCCCCCAUUGCUUACAGUUACACUGUAUCUCAUGUGAUCCAGGGUUCUUAACAACCGCAAAUAGCUAUCGUGUGUCAGCUUUUGCUUCUGUCCGGUCGACUCUUAUUCAUGUAGAGCAAUCUGCAAGAUCAGAGUGUUAUAAAACGAGAAAUUGUAUCUUCGUCUGCGCUCACUACGAGAAUUGAGAUGGUUAGGAAGGUCGUAAAUAUUCCAUUCGCAUUCCAAUCAGUCUAACCAGUUUCGUCGGAAAACCGUGUUCUACCAUUAUCUGCUAUCAUAACUCGUUUUUUUUUUCACUGAAUUGUAUGCCGCUUUCAAGUCGAUGGACCGAUGGGGAAUAUGCAAAUUGUGCUCCCGGAGUUCAUCUAGGAGUUGUCGCGAACAAUGUUCUUAAUUUCACCAGGUUAGGCCCAUCGGGCAAAGUGGUGUUUGUGAUAUGAUAAUUUUGAAGUAGUAGUCGUGUCAUGUCAACUUCGGCAAGCCGAAAUCGCACGAAGUUGCCGAAGGUGACGUCACGUUCCAGAAGCUCCGAACAAAAUUUCUGGCAAACGUGACGUCGCGAUCAGCUGAUCGGUUUGUUUACAUAUUUUUAUCGACAAAUACAGGCAAACAUAUACGUUCACCCGGACCUGUGAAUAAUUGACAUCGUGUCGCGAAGUAAACAUUUCUAGCGUAACAUUUGAAAAGGGCCUAUCUACAAAAUGUAAACAAACCCGAUUUUUCACUAUUCCCAUCAAUAUCUACCUAAACUAUCCCAUAACACCUUAAUCAAUGACAAAAGAGCUAUUUUACCCGUAUUUUAGAUAAAUUUUAAAAGGGCCUAUCUGAAAUUGAAUAAUCUUUUAGGGCCUAACUGCAUUCAAAAGGGCCUAGCUGAAAAUAAGCUUUCAAAUCAGAUAGGCCCUUUUGUAAAUUUUGAUUAUUUUUCAUAUUUUUCAAUAAUUUUUAGUAGUUCUUUAACUUUCCUUGAAUUAUAGAUGAAAAUAAAUCCAAAAUAUUUCAAAUUAGCUAAAAUUAAGAAAAAAUUAAAGGGCACAACUGAAAAUUUUCCUUCAAAUCAGAUAGGCCCUUUUGUAAAUUUGGGUUAUUGUUCAUGUUUUUCAAUAAUUUUGAGUAGCUCUUUAACUUUCCUUGAAUUAUCGAUAACAAUAAUCCAGAAUAAUUAAAACUAGCUAAAAAUAAAAAAAAUAAAAGGGCCUAACUGAAAUUGCCGACGAUAAAAGGGCCUAACUGAAAGGGCCUAACUGAUUUUUAGAUUGUAAAAGGGCCUAUCUGCCGUUCAUGUUUAAAAUAGAUUAUUUAUGGAGUUUUUGCUAUAGUAUGAUGCAAAUAAUGCACAGAACCUCAAAGUAGAUUCCCAUAUGUGUCAAUAGAUGGAAUAAAACACCUAAAAAAGUCUUUCGUUUUUAAAUAGGAUUAACUUAUCUGGGAGGUAAUCUUCUCAUGCGAUUUUCUCAAUGUUUACGUUUUGCAGAUAGGCCCUUUUCAAAUGUUACGCUAGAUUUGAUCCGUCGUUGGUCGGCCAUCGAAAAACCAGCUUAGUUUUUGCCCACGAAGUAUUUAUUCAAGGAUCUCAGUCUGCGCCCCUCUUUAUUAAGAAUGCAAAUUAGGCCCUAUAGUCAUCUAAUCAACGGAUAGUUUUUCUUUUACCUAUAUCUUCAUCGAAGUAUUUCGUUCAGCUGCUCACUGCCGUGUUUGAAAAGUACUAUUCCAGUGCCGAGAGUACUAUUCCAGUCAAUUCCAGCAGUAGUACUGUUCAUUGAUUCUGCGGUUCAUGGGACUUCUCCAGGACAUCUUUCCGGGAUUUCUCCCACAGUUUCUACAAGAGUUAUUCCUAGGAUUUCUGUUAUAUCUCUUCCAAAAAGUUUUCACGAAUUUUCCACUGGGAUUUCGUCCGAAGCUUCUCCUGUAAUUUCUUCACGAAAUUACCGUGAGUUUUCUUCUAGUGUUUCUCUUAGGAUUUUUGGAUUUUUGCAGGAAUUUUAACCGAGAUAUUUCUUAAUCGUUCUUGUUUCUUUUGAAGUUUCACCUGAGGUUUCUCUCGAAGUUUUCCGGGAUUAUUUCAGAAGGCCCCUUUCGGUGUUGGCCAUGUGAUGUCUCUCAGUUUUUUUUUUAUAAGUUAUUAUCUCGUUAUGGAGUCUCUGUUAAGAAUUAUUCUGGAGUACCUUUUGGGAUUCUUGCAGAAGCUAUUGCUGAUAUUUCUCAGCAGUUUUUCGCGCUAUUUCUUUCAAAGCUUUUUCCUGGCUUUAACUCAUAUUAUCAUAUAGGAUUGCUUGCAGUGAGCUUAUUUUAACAGAUUUUCUCGGAAUUAGUUCCAAAGUUCUUCCCGGAAUCGCUAUCGCAACUUGUCACACGAUUUUGAGUUCUCCAUCAGUUGUAACCUGGCGUUCUUGCAUGGAUUUUCACAAAAUAUUUUUUUUUUCGGAAUGUCGAUAACUUAUAAAAUUCCUUAUAUGAAAUUCCCGAAAAAAUAUGGGAAGAAAUACAGGUGAAUUCUUGACGGAAACUUCGUAGAGAUCUAUUGAAGAAAUCCAGAAAAGAGCCUCGAAAUAAAUGUAGAAAAAAUGCGACAUCUCGGAAAAAAGUUCCUGGAGUUCCGAAGAGAAAAUAUUAAAAAAAAAAUCAUAAAGCGAACUCUGAAAACCUCUAAGAAAAAUCUCGUGAGGACAUUUCAUGAGAAACAUAAAAAAAACUUUCUGAGACCAUUCCCUGAAAGUAUUUCUGCAAUCAUCUCGCCAACAUCCCUAGAGAUAAUUUCUGAACGAAUUUUGGUUGAAUUUCGGAACAAUCUUAUGCAGGAAUCCAGCGAGAAACUCAAGCUGUAUAUCGGGAAAACCUCUGGAAAAAAAAUCCCGGAAGGUACUCCUGCAGAGUCUCCGUUAAAAAACUCGUGCGGAAAUCCUGGGAGGAGCUUUGGUAGAAAUCCCAGGAACAACUCCCAGAAAUCUCAAAAGAACAUCGUAAAAUUCUUAAAAGGAGCUAUUUAUGGUAUUUGCUCCCACAAAUAGUUCCUUCCGCUCUAGAUGGAAACUUGGGAGAAUUGAAUAAAGCCAGAAAAAAAAAACAUUUGAUAGAAUCAAGGACGCAAAAGAAUUCAAAGGAGGUAUUGUGGUAGAAAUCCAAGGGUUGAUCCAGGAAAAAAAUAGGGGAGAAUCAUGGAUAGAAUCUCGAGAUUAUCCCAAAGAAAUUUUGGUACAAUUUCUAGAUAGAUAUUCAAUAAAAUUUGUUAUCAAAUCUACGAAGGAAUUGCUCAUUUUUGACAGAGUUCUUGAGAAGUGUUCAUCAUAACAGCCGAGGUAACCUGCACCAUCAUUUUUAUUCAACAUUGUAAAUAUUGCUUAAUCGAUUUCUGUUAUAAUUUCGAAAGAGUUUUGUGAAGAAAGAUCUUGGAAGUAUUCAGCGUUAAUUUCAUAAAAUUAUAUUUAGGUUAUGGUUAAUUGGCGAUUGAUUGGCUAACCUUGAAGAAGCUUCCAUACGAAGCGAAACGUUGGAUGAAUAUUGAAUCAUCAUCUUCUUCUUCUUCUUCUUUAUGGCUCUACGUCCCCACUGGGACUUGGCCUGCCUCGCUUCAACUUAGUGUUCUUUGAGCACUUCCAUUCCACAGUUAUUAAUUGAAGGGCUUUCUUUGCCUGCCAUUGCAUGAAUUUGUAUAUUGUGAGGCAAGUACAAUGAUACACUAUGCCCAGGGAGUCGAGAAAAUUUUCCCGACCGGAACGGAAAUCGAACCCGCCGUCUCCGGAUUGGCGAUUCAUAGCCUUAACCACUAGACUAACUGGAGACCCGUUUUUGAAAUUGAAUCAUCGUUAUCAGUGAAUUUGAUUGACAAAAUCGCCAAUUAAUCAUAACCUAGAAGCAUACCCACAGUCGUUCAGAAUCUCAAAGUACUGUGUAAUUUUUGUAAUAAAUAACAAACUUUCAAAAUUUCCCCAGAAAAAAAAACUGAAAACUCAGGGAAUUUUAUUUUGCCUUAUGAGGAGACACCUUGUCCCUGCUCCGUAGAUAGUUUUCCACAGAUUGUUGAGGUAGUCGUGGAUUACCUUCAUCCGCUCUCCUUGGCCACACCUUCUGCUGAGAAGUUCUGAAUAUUAAAACGCCACGCUCGCUGAGUCCUUCAGGUUGAUAACCAUGCUCGAAUCUUAUUAUAGUGAUGAGAGUCGAUCAGUAGCAAUUCUCUACCUUCAAAGUUAUCCGACCAACAGGCGUAAGUUCUUGAAUUUUCCUGAACAAAUUAGCUUGUAACUAGUAGAAUAGUACGAGAAAAGAUGUUUUCACCCGUUUAUAAUUUGAUUUAGACUGUAAGUUUUUUUUUUGCAAUUACAAGUUAGUUGCACAGGUUGCACAGGUGAACAGUGAGGCUACGAGAUGCCAUUGGAAUCGAUUUUUGGUCCUCUCAAGGCCCUCACAACAAUGGCAUCCGAAAAUACCGACCGUCUAUGAAAACUUUGUUUAUUUGGUUGCAAGUUUCGCAUCCAGGUGCAUCCAGGUGUGCUUACACACCAAACGCUUUCAGUAAUAUUUUGCUCAAUUUUGUCGAGCUGAACGAUCCCGCAGAAUUGUUUGCUGAACUUUGUAGCGGUCAGGAGAAUUUGUAUAUAUUUUUGUAAGAUAAGUCUGUAAAUAUUCGAAAUAAGAUAGAUUGUAAGGAAAUGCAAUCUAUCUAUGAUAAUUUGAAUUUGUAAAUAUCCCUUAGUUUAGGCAAACGAAAAGACAUCAAUUAACAAACGCUUCCCGAGGUCGAGGCCAUUUGUUUUCUGGAUAAGGUGGGAAAGGGAAAGCAGCACGACUAUCGGUCAAGUUAUCCGCAUAGCGGUGUAGUCACGAUUGAACACGAAGGGUUUCGGGAAAUGACGUACUUCCGGGUACGUCCGAGAUUCACUUUCCCUUAUCUGAGGCUUCUUAGACUCGAUCAUUUCGUCCGUGAUAACGCAAAGAGUUGGAAGUGUCCGCGUUUGUGAGUUAGUCUUUCGUGUACCAAAAGUAGGUUUAAGUGAUGUUAAAUGUAGUUAAACAGUUUAAUCUGGUGUUUCGUUCCAUAGUAGGUCAGGAAAAGUGUGCGUAAGAACUGUGUGCGAUUGAGAACAAUUAGAAAGCUCAAGAUAAGGUAUGAAACCGUGAUCUGAAUGUGCUCUUUGUGCCAGUGCUCAAGUUCUUUGUCCCGCUAGCUCGGGCUUCAAUCUUCAAUCCGCAGAUCUUCGCGCCAAGCGCGAUCACUUUCUUCCCCAACGGACGAGAGAUACCUGGCAACCGCCAAUCAGCCGGACGCGGACGGAUUCGUCAACACAUCGGUCCGAGAAGGCCCGGGGACCUUCAGGUGGACGAAGUCCACGAGCUGGUUCGCCAACUGAUCAGCAGGGCGUCAUCAACUACCCAGAAACCACCAUUGUGAAGAUCACGUCAAUCGCCAUCGCGAUCACGUGGAUACUAGCCGAUCAACGACCAACGACCGCCAUCAAUCAGCCAAGUCGCCGGUGAGUCAACGACCCGGCCUGCAGGUCAUCGACUGCGAAGGUGUGUAAGCUGAACCGAUCGGUGAGUCCAUCAUUCUUUUUUUGUUGGGAAGUCCGGUGUCCGCUGAGGGCACCGCGGAGGAUCUUUUUUUGCCAGUCAAAGACUGUGGAUGAAGUGCUGAAAAGCCAAAACAUAACCUCUUUUCGGAGAUCGGAAUUCUUUCCGAGAACAUCUUGGGGGACCAACGUCUUGGCCCCGUGAAAAUGCGUGCGUGAGCCGUCUUCGCCACCACUGCAGGGAAGCUUCGUCACCAGGAGCGCAGACAAAUACGAAGCUGAGCUUCCAGCAAAUGUGACGUCACGAUACAGAGCACUGAGCACAGUUAGGAAGAGAGAGGGAGUAGCAAGGGAAAUCGCACACAUGCUAGGAGGUAGAAGAUAGAGAACGAACACAAAUACGAAUAAUGAAUUCGAAUUGAUGUAUACCCGUGAACAUGUAUGUCAUCUUAGGAAAUAAGUCAAUAUAGUCAUAUAAGCCGAUAUAUUCGUAUCCGUCUUAUUAGUAUCUGGAAUAAAUGUGUUUGAGUUUCCUUCCUAGCAAUUUGGUUGUUUAAAUGUAUUUAACAUCACUGCGCGUUUUGUUGUAGCUUCGUUUCGUUUGAUUGGGUUGUUUUAUGAGUGUCUUCCAGCUCAGUGAGGGAUCUGGUGGCGAGAAGAGAGAGUUCGCCAAUGAUGAGAACUUCUCUUGAGUGAGAUCGUAGGGGUUCAGGUGAGAUCUCUCACCGCUUCUCUGAGUGUCGUCGUGAUUGUGCUGUUAUGUUGUGGUAAUAGGGAUUUCCCGUUUGGCCGUUUUAGAUCGUAGCCAGCUGGAUCGUUCCAUAAAUCCUUUCCAGGAAAUUAAAUGGACUCGCCCUUUGGGAGUCUCAUCCGGGCAAUUUAAAAUUGGGCGCGUGGUCUCCUUUCGAGGAGUGGCGCAUAAGCCACGCGUUUUUAUGCGGAUCACCCAGCAGCGGCUACAAAUUGGCGCCCAACUAAAGGUUUUCGUAAUAUUUGAGUAAUUUAUUGAGUUUCUGAUGUAAAAUUAUGUGAAUUUAUGAAUUUUGUGGUAUUUAUGGAUAGUUUUAGGUUCAUGUAUUGAUAGUUUUCGAAUGAUUUAGUGGUUUAUUCGAUAUUUUUGAGUCUGUGGAAAGUUCUUUGAGUGUUAAAGUGAAUUUUUGUGGUUAUUGAGAAUUUAGAAGAUAUUGAGCUUUGGGAAAGAUUGAAUUUGUGUAGUGUGUCAUUAUAUUUUUGUUGUAAAACUAUUACGUUGUAAAUUAUCGUUGAAUUUAAGCUUCUUUUCUUUUAUAUUCCUUUUUUUUGUAUUUAUAAUAUUUCGUUAUAAUGGCUUUUAGACUCCCUUAUGCGGACCAUUUGAUAAAUGAGGAAGUAGAUUAUGAGCUAACGAUUAGCGGAAAAAGUGAGGAACAAUGAGGUUGAGACAAAUACCGGAUGUUGACGUACUGGCUUGAUGAAAAAUUUGAGGAUGGAGUGUAUGAGUACGAACCUUAUUGAUUGAUUUUUCAAGUGGUAUCGAGCAGGAAUAGGUUCGGGUUUUGCGUUUACGGCUUGUUUGGAAGCAGAACAUGAAGAAAUAGGAGAGUAGAGCAUGAUUAGUACUGAGAGCAACGUAGGGGUAGGGGGAGAGAAAGAUCCAGGGAAUGAGAGAAUUAAGGCUCUGGAGGCCCAAGUGGCGGAGCUCACCCUGAUGAUUGAAAUAAUUCAAAGGAGAAUGCGAGGAUCUGUUGAGCAGGAGGACAGACGAGGGGGAGUUAAGGUGGUAGAAAGAUUUCAAGGAGAAGAACAGAUUAAAAUCCAGUUUAACACGUUCGAUGAUACGAAUGACCGUGAGAUGGAGCCCCUAUCGGAGUUACCGACAUGCUCGUAUUGUGAGAGAUACGAUCACGUAGAAGAUGAUUGUGUUGUUAAAAAGAGGAUUCUGGAAAUAGGGCGUAGGUUAAAUGAAGAAAAAGCGAGGAAAGGCCAGGAACAACUAGGGGUGGCAAGAGGUCUUGGACCGGAAUGCGAGACUGCGAGUAACGGAAUCACAAAACCAGAAGGUGUGGCCAAUACACAAAGGCCGGAAAACUGUGCCAUAAUUGGUCAGGAAAUAACCUACGAUACUGAGAAGUUUGAUGCGGUGUUGCCAGUCAAACAAACUUGGUUUCGAAAAAAUGACGUUCUGGUGUCCGCGAAACGGAGUAGGAAGAGGGAAACUAGGCAGGUAGUUCCGUGGCAAGCAUUUUCAGAAAGCGGAAAGAGUCCCAGUAGAACGAGAAAUCGUUUGAAUAGGAGGAAGAAGGGAACGGAGAAAAGGAUAAACAGAGAAACUGUAAAGGAGUGGCUCAUCGAGUGGUCGAUUGCUUCGGAGAGAUGGAGGAUUUGGUUUUUAAAAAUCUUAUCGUCCUACGUUGGAUUUGUCGUUCAAAUCUCUGGGUUUAGCUCCUGUCGGAUACAAUGGCUAAGUUGGCUCCGAAGGAUAUACCAUCAAUUGACAUUGCUACGAUUUAGAGGGUUUGGAUGGGAAAAGACUUGGCAUUUUCCGUUGCAAGUUUCUCAAGAAGCUUGCCAAGCCAAACCCUCCAUAAUGUGACUGGAAUUGUUUUCAAGCUAUGUAACUGUCUUGGGCAGCAACGAAGAACCAGUGCUUUGCCUGGUCUCGCAAAAAUACUUGAAGAGAGCUUUUCUUUUCCAGCUAUGAACUCUUGGGUACACCCCAAGAGUUACGAUUACUCCGUUGAGCAGUGCUCCGGGUAACGAAAAAACUUAGUCGCCACUACAAAGCUUAGCGCUGAUCCUCGGAUCAGCUGCUGCCCCUACAAAACCUUUCACUUACUAGGGGCAUCCUUGGUCUGUUCAACAGUCCAAGAAGAAGCUUUGUAGUGAGCUGAAGAAAGGUAUUGGUUCAUUCAAAGAAGAACCAUUAAGUAGAAGAAGUUGUGCUAUACGCGAUCCCCUGGACCAGAAGUCAGAGAGAGCCCUGGAAGAAUUCCCGGGCGAUGAUCUCGUAAACAGAAGCUCAGAGCCGUUGGGUGAUGACGAGCAGUACCAUUCAUGGGAAGUCAAAAUCGUGAGUCUGAUAUUGGGGAUGAUUAGACGUUGAUCGAAAAUCAAGACUCAGAAGGUUCUCAUUGAAGAAACCGAUGUUGAGCAACCCGAGUAAAUCGAGCGAUAGCAACAUCUUUAAAAAACGGCUCUAUCUUGAAGGAAUCAAAGUACUGCCCGAAUGUGGGAAGGUUGAGGUCAAACCUCAAGGUCAUUUAAAAUAUUCGUUUUAUAUUGAGACGUGGGAGUUUCCCGAAAUUUGUGAAUAAUAUUAGUUUGUAGUUCACAAAGGUAGUCUUAGAAUAAAAUUAGUACUUAAAUUAAAUCCUUUAUUUAAAAAUGUAAUUAAAACUUUCUUAAAUUAGAAAAAAAAACUGUUCACUGUCCAUCCCUCGUUAGUGUCCGUCUCAUCUCUCGUGUACCUAAAAACAAAAAUAAAGCAUUAAAAUCAAAUAAAUAACUUGCUAAGGGUUGGAGCAAUACUUCCCUUAAAUUUGAUACUCCUAGAACACCUCCAUCCGGCCGGUAAAAUGGGUCUUCAAAUGCAGGUCGUCCGUCUAUACUGCGGUCCAGCUCUGUUGCAGGCCUGAGCACCGUACCUGUUAUAGUCUCCAUCGUCCGUCAACUCGGUUUUUCGCCGCAAUCAAACCUAAACCACAAAUAAACAAAGAAAAUAUGAUUACUUACUGUUCAAUAGACACUUUCUUAAGUUUUUCUUAUAGUUUAAGCCAUUUCCCGUCCGUAUUUUGCUGCAAAAUUACCUAGAAACUUUCACAAUUUUUCCGCACACUGCACUUUUUUGAUGUUUACCUUUUUACUUUGACGUUUCUCUGAGUAAGUGGGUGUUUCAGUAUAUGAGUGUCGUGAGUGUCCGAAGAGAAUUUUCUCUGAGUGACGUAAUAGAGUUGGUCUUGUGUAUUUCUCAUUUAUUAAUGUUUCGUGAGAACCGGGAUAGAGCAUCGGCAUUUGGAACAUUUUUGAAUGUUUGUUUGGGAGAAUUGUAGGGAGAAUUCACGUUUCAUACACAUCUAUUGACGAGAGCCGGGGUGUACUCUGGUGUGUCAAUACAUGUUGUGUGUAGAUGAUUGUGGUUGUAUUGCGUUUUAUCAUACACAGAGGCGCAAAUCCAAGGCUUGGAGGGUUUCUGUGAGAUGAAACAGUUGCGGAGAAUUCAGAUGCGGAGCGUAGUACCAGCGAUGAGGAUUGGUGUGCUUCGAAUCUGGAUGAUCCUGUUUAUUGAUGUUAUGUGCGGUUUGUAUCGGUGAGAGGCAGUUAAUCGACAGCAAGGUUCGAUGUUUGUUUCUCUCCAUGUGUACCUGUUAUAUGUAAGUUUACGUUCAUUGAGAUGUUCGAGAAACGAUCUCAAUGGUGUGUUGUUAUGGUUGGCUUCUGCUGAGACUGUGAGGUGUCUGCAGUAAUGCCGUUUUAAGAUUUGUUAUGGUUUGAGAAUUUGUUGGUGUCUGUACUCACACUUGCUCAGAGAACGUUGAAUGGCUCGUAGAAAUCUUCUUUGGGAUGAACCUAUAUUUCGUAAUUAUUUUGUAAAUAUUUUUGUAUGAUGUGUAGAGUUAUAAUUUUUGAAAUAUUUUGAAUUGAAGAUAUGUUGAAUAGGUUAGGAACCCGGAUGAAUAUUGAAAUAAUGAAAAUGAAUUAAUUUAUAAGGGAUUAAAAAAAAAAAUAAAAUAAAAAAAAAUUUGUAUAUAUCAGGCACAUUGCGAAAUUUACCACUACGAAAAUUUGGUUUAAGUCCUUAAACCAAAUUUUCGUAAAAUAGCCCUGGUGCAAUGUAGCGGUCAGGAGAAUUUGUAUAUAUUUUUGUAAGAUAAGUCUGUAAAUAUUCGUAAUAAGAUAGAUUGUAAGGAAAUGCAAUCUAUCUAUGAUAAUUUGAAUUUGUAAAUAUCCCUUAGUUUAGGCAAACGAAAAGACAUCAAUUAACAAACGCUUCCCGAGGUCGAGGCCAUUUGUUUUCUGGAUAAGGUGGGAAAGGGAAAGCAGCACGACUAUCGGUCAAGUUAUCCGCAUAGCGGUGUAGUCACGAUUGAACACGAAGGGUUUCGGGAAAUGACGUACUUCCGGGUACGUCCGAGAUUCACUUUCCCUUAUCUGAGGCUUCUUAGACUCGAUCAUUUCGUCCGUGAUAACGCAAAGAGUUGGAAGUGUCCGCGUUUGUGAGUUAGUCUUUCGUGUACCAAAAGUAGGUUUAAGUGAUGUUAAAUGUAGUUAAACAGUUUAAUCUGGUGUUUCGUUCCAUAGUAGGUCAGGAAAAGUGUGCGUAAGAACUGUGUGCGAUUGAGAACAAUUAGAAAGCUCAAGAUAAGCUCGGGCUUCAAUCUUCAAUCCGCAGAUCUUCGCGCCAAGCGCGAUCACUUUCUUCCCCAACGGACGAGAGAUACCUGGCAACCGCCAAUCAGCCGGACGCGGACGGAUUCGUCAACACAUCGGUCCGAGAAGGCCCGGGGACCUUCAGGUGGACGAAGUCCACGAGCUGGUUCGCCAACUGAUCAGCAGGGCGUCAUCAACUACCCAGAAACCACCAUUGUGAAGAUCACGUCAAUCGCCAUCGCGAUCACGUGGAUACUAGCCGAUCAACGACCAACGACCGCCAUCAAUCAGCCAAGUCGCCGGUGAGUCAACGACCCGGCCUGCAGGUCAUCGACUGCGAAGGUGUGUAAGCUGAACCGAUCGGUGAGUCCAUCAUUCUUUUUUUGUUGGGAAGUGCGGUGUCCGCUGAGGGCACCGCGGAGGAUCUUUUUUUGCCAGUCAAAGACUGUGGAUGAAGUGCUGAAAAGCCAAAACAAAACCUCUUUUCGGAGAUCGGAAUUCUUUCCGAGAACAUCUUGGGGGACCAACGUCUUGGCCCCGUGAAAAUGCGUGCGUGAGCCGUCUUCGCCACCACUGCAGGGAAGCUUCGUCACCAGGAGCGCAGACAAAUACGAAGCUGAGCUUCCAGCAAAUGUGACGUCACGAUACAGAGCACUGAGCACAGUUAGGAAGAGAGAGGGAGUAGCAAGGGAAAUCGCACACAUGCUAGGAGGUAGAAGAUAGAGAACGAACACAAAUACGAAUAAUGAAUUCGAAUUGAUGUAUACCCGUGAACAUGUAUGUCAUCUUAGGAAAUAAGUCAAUAUAGUCAUAUAAGCCGAUAUAUUCGUAUCCGUCUUAUUAGUAUCUGGAAUAAAUGUGUUUGAGUUUCCUUCCUAGCAAUUUGGUUGUUUAAAUGUAUUUAACAUCACUGCGCGUUUUGUUGUAGCUUCGUUUCGUUUGAUUGGGUUGUUUUAUGAGUGUCUUCCAGCUCAGUGAGGGAUCUGGUGGCGAGAAGAGAGAGUUCGCCAAUGAUGAGAACUU